rnacentral:lncRNA from 1 species
GACAAGGGUUUCAGGAACACACUUAAAAUCAUUAAAUGAGACAUAGACUUUACCCUGAUUCCUAUGAUCACCUCAGUAAAGAAAAGUGUUCACAGCAAGAAUAAGGUAACCCCUGCUGCAGCCAUUUCAAAAUAUGUCAAAGAAAUAAGAGAUGAAGAUAAAGAAGAAGGAAAUGAAUCCAGCAAAUUUGAGAAUGAAUGGCCCAGCCAGAUCUAAGAUACAUGCCAGAGGCCGGGCUCAGUGGCUGAUGCCUGUAAUCCCAGCACUUUGGGAGGCCAAGGUAGGCGAAUAAUGAGGUCAGGAGUUCAAGACCAGCCUGGCCAACAUGGUGAAACCCCAUCUCUACGAAAAAUACAAAAAUUAGCUGGGCAUGGUGGCAUGCGCCUGUAAUGCCAGCUGCUCGGGAGGCUGAGGCAGGAGAAUUGCUUGAAUUCAGGAGACAGGGGUUACAGUGAGCUGAGAUCACGCCACUGCACUCCAGCCUGGGUGACAGAGCAAGACUCCGUCUUGGGGGG